rnacentral:rRNA from 1 species
GACGAACGCUGGCGGCGUGCUUAACACAUGCAAGUCGAACGGAAAGGCCCUGCCUUUGUGGGCUGCUCGAGUGGCGAACGGGUGAGUAACACGUGAGUAACCUGUCCCUGACUUUGGGGUAACUUCAGGAAACUGGGGCUCAUACCGCAUAGGAGCUCCUGCUGCAUGGUGGGGGUUGGAAAGUUUCGGCGGUUGGGGAUGGACUCGCGGCUUAUCAGCUUGUUGGUGGGGUAGUGGCUUACCAAGGCUUUGACGGGUAGCCGGCCUGGGAGGGUGACCGGCCACAUUGGGACUGAGAUGCGGCCCAGACUCCUACGGGAGGCAGAGGUGGAGAAUAUUGCACAGUGGGCGGAGGCCUGAUGCGGCAACGCCGCGUGCGGGAUGACGGCCUUCGGGUUGUAAACCACUGUCGCCUGUGACGAAGCGUUAGUGACGGUAAUGGGUGAAGAAGCACCGGCUAACUACGUG